CCGCAUUGCAGGUGGAUUCUUUGCCAGUUGAGCCACAAGGGAAGCCCAUCCUAUGAGAGCCCAGGAGGUGAUGGAGACAAGGGUCAGGAGGGAAGUGGUCUGCCUGGCCACCAGAGGUCUGCCACACAUCAAGAAUGGGUGCCCAGCUUGUGCAUAACAGCAGUCUGGGAGGAAGACUCCUAGCCCAACGACAACGAGCUCAGCCACGGCCACUGGCUCUUCACCAUGCUCACAGAACGUCUCCCACCAGCCAAGGACUCACAUUAUCAGGCAAUAAAGCGACACUUCAAUUUUCGCCAUGACUAUUUUACCUGUUGGAUUUUCUAGGUCCAAGACCUGGGUGCAAUGAGAUUCCAGGAGUAUGUAAACCUGGCUGAGUCCCCAGUGAAAAUGAUUAUCUGUUCUCAUAUUAUAAAACCUGAAUCCAA